GAUCCUGGCUCAGGAUGAACGCUGGCGGCGUGCUUAACACAUGCAAGUCGAGCGAAGCACCUCACCCGAAAAAGGGACCUGCUGCAGGGAACGGAUCAACCGAGGUGACUGAGCGGCGGACGGGUGAGUAACGCGUGGGUAACCUGCCUCAUACAGGGGGAUAACAGUUAGAAAUGACUGCUAAUACCGCAUAAGCGCACAGGAGGGCAUCCUCUGGUGUGAAAAACUCCGGUGGUAUGAGAUGGACCCGCGUCGGAUUAGCCAGUUGGCGGGGUAACGGCCCACCAAAGCGACGAUCCGUAGCCGGCCUGAGAGGGCGACCGGCCACAUUGGGACUGAGACACGGCCCAAACUCCUACGGGAGGCAGCAGUGGGGAAUAUUGCACAAUGGGGGAAACCCUGAUGCCAGCGACGCCGCGUGAGUGAUGAAGUAUUUCGGUACGUAAAGCUCUAUCAGCAGGGAAGAAGACGACGGUACCUGACUAAGAAGCCCCGGCUAACUACGUGCCAGCCGCAGC
rnacentral:rRNA from 1 species